rnacentral:rRNA from 1 species
GCGUGUGUGAAGAAGGCCUUCGGGUUGUAAAGCACUUUCGCCCGCGAAGAUGAUGACGGUAGCGGGAUAAGAAGCCCCGGCUAACUCCGUGCCAGCAGCCGCGGUAAUACGGAGGGGGCUAGCGUUGUUCGGAAUUACUGGGCGUAAAGGGCGUGUAGGCGGCUCUGCCAGUCAGGCGUGAAAGGCCCGGGCUCAACCCGGGAACUGCGCUUGAUACUGCGGGGCUUGAGUUCGGGAGAGGAGAGUGGAAUUCCCAGUGUAGAGGUGAAAUUCGU